UACGUGGGAGGGCUAGCGUUGUCCGGAUUUAUUGGGCGUAAAGAGCGUGUAGGCGGCCAAGUAGGUCCGGUGUGAAAACUCGAGGCUUAACCUCGAGAUGUCAUCGGAAACCAUUUGGCUAGAGUCCGGAAGAGGAAAGUGGAAUUCCUGGUGUAGCGGUGAAAAUGCGCAGAUAUCAGGGAAAGAAACACCCAAAUGGC
rnacentral:rRNA from 1 species